rnacentral:sRNA from 1 species
GGAAGUAAAAAUCGUAACAAGGUUUCCGUAGGUGAACCUGCGGAAGGAUCAUUACCGAGUGAGGGCCCUCUGGGUCCAACCUCCCACCCGUGUUUAUUUUACCUUGUUGCUUCGGCGGGCCCGCCUUAACUGGCCGCCGGGGGGCUUACGCCCCCGGGCCCGCGCCCGCCGAAGACACCCUCGAACUCUGUCCGAAGAUUGUAGUCUGAGUGAAAAUAUAAAUUAUUUAAAACUUUCAACAACGGAUCUCUUGGUUCCGGCAUCGAUGAAGAACGCAGCGAAAUGCGAUACGUAAUGUGAAUUGCAAAUUCAGUGAAUCAUCGAGUCUUUGAACGCACAUUGCGCCCCCUGGUAUUCCGGGGGGCAUGCCUGUCCGAGCGUCAUUGCUGCCCUCAAGCACGGCUUGUGUGUUGGGCCCCGUCCUCCGAUCCCGGGGGACGGGCCCGAAAGGCAGCGGCGGCACCGCGUCCGGUCCUCGAGCGUAUGGGGCUUUGUCACCCGCUCUGUAGGCCCGGCCGGCGCUUGCCGAUCAACCCAAAUUUUUAUCCAGGUUGACCUCGGAUCAGGUAGGGAUACCCGCUGAACUUAAGCAUAUCAAUAAGCGGAGGAAAAGAAACCAACAGGGAUUGCCCCAGUAACGGCGAGUGAAGCGGCAAGAGCUCAAAUUUGAAAGCUGGCUCCUUCGGGGUCCGCAUUGUAAUUUGUAGAGGAUGCUUCGGGAGCGGUCCCCAUCUAAGUGCCCUGGAACGGGACGUCAUAGAGGGUGAGAAUCCCGUAUGGGAUGGGGUGUCCGCGCCCGUGUGAAGCUCCUUCGACGAGUCGAGUUGUUUGGGAAUGCAGCUCUAAAUGGGUGGUAAAUUUCAUCUAAAGCUAAAUAUUGGCCGGAGACCGAUAGCGCACAAGUAGAGUGAUCGAAAGAUGAAAAGCACUUUGAAAAGAGAGUUAAAAAGCACGUGAAAUUGUUGAAAAGGAAAGCGCUUGCGACCAGACUCGCUCGCGGGGUUCAGCCGGCAUUCGUGCCGGUGUACUUCCCCGCGGGGGGGGCCACCGUCUGGUUUGGGCCGGUCGGUCAAAGGCCCUCCGGAAGGUAACGCUCCUAAGGGGCGGC